UUCUUUGGAUAUGCUUUUGUGAAUCUGGUGUCCAUUGAUAGUCCGAUUUUGGAUGAAGUGUCCGAUUCUUCACUUAUUUAUUUAUAUGAUUUAGUAUUGAUGUGAAUUGGUCCAUAAAUCUUCCUGGUCGUUCUUCAUUGGAUAUGCUUUUGUGAAUCUGGUGUCCAUUGAUAGUCCGACUUUGGAUUGAGUGUCCGAUUCCACAUUUAUUUUGGUUACUGUAUUUGCAUUCCUUUGGUAUGUUUAGUAUUUAUAUUAUUUGGUAUUGGUGAGAAUUGCUCCAUAAAUAUUCCUGAUUGUUCUUCUCUGGAUAUGCUAUUACGAAUCUGGUGUCCAUUGCUAGUUCAAUUUAGGAUUGAGUGUUCGAUUCUUCACUUAUUCUAGUUAUUGAUUUAUUGGGUCUUAUUUUAGUAUAUUUACUUGUGUUAUUCUACGAAUUGGCUCACACCUUUGCCUGGUUGUCCGUCCUUGGAUAUACCCAUUAUAAAUCUGAUGUCCAUGGAUAGUUCAACUUUGGAUUUAGUGCCAAUUCGACACUUAUUUGUCAUUAUAAAUUAUGUCUCAUCUUUAGGUUGUUUGGCUUUUAAGAAAAAAAAACCAGUCACUUUUACUAGGACUUCGGGUCACAUAUUGCAAUUUCUGUUAUUUGCUGCAGUGACCAUCCUACCUUCCCUUGAUUAUUAGUUGUGAUUAUUUGUAAUCUUGCGAAUCAGCGGGGAAUGAUACACUACCACUACUUUAGUUUAAUACUUUGGAAAAAAAAAAAAAUAUUCGAUUAAAUUUUUUUUUUCUCGUAGUCGACGGGGAAUGUGGCGUUCCGCCCCUUAUAGAAUCAAGUAUUGUUGGGAAGAUAAUAUUUAAUCAUUGAAAAUAUUAUUUAAAUAUUUUCGGGAUUAAUUUCUUUCAAUGUUUAUUAAGAUACAACGUAAAGCAAAAACAUAAUUGUUAAAUGCUUACUGAUGUCACAUUUAAACGUGGCAACCUUGGUUCCCUCGCGUUGACAGUUAAUGAUUAGGAGAGGGGUACGAAGAACUUCAGCUGGUAACUGAAGGCCGUGAACGGGUCAUUGUUCUCCAGUGUACGGUCUAGGUAGCGGGGUCGUUUGAACGAAAUUAUUCACCUAUAAUUCAAAGUUCCAAAUGUAUUAAAGAUUACCAUAAAUACUAUAGUGAAGUUAUCCAGCAGUGAACAGUGAAGUUGAAGAAUUUUGGAGAAUAUUAUAUACAAUGAGUUCCGCCCCGCACCUACCAUGAAAUCUUAAGGUCACCUAACAACCACACCAAGGCCAGACCACACUGAGAGAAACAAUCACUAGGCGACCAGCCUGGAUUAUUUCCACACAUUUUCGUUUGAGUACCUCCAGCUGCUUUCCACCAGUCUUGAGUACCUUCAGCUGCUUUCUACCAGUCUUCCUCUCCUGUACCUCCAGCAGGACAGCUGCUAGCGAGAGUUAGCACCCUUGGGUGCUCAUUACAUCAACUCGAAGAUUGUGUAAAAGGGGUUUGUUUGGGAACAGUUACUGUGCUAUUAGUAAAGACAGACUGUUUUUGUGAUAUUUAGUACAUUUUUAUAGUUCGAUUGCACACACAUUUUUCUUGUUUUAUAUUUUAUGGUAUUUUUUCCUUAACAACAUAAUAUUUAAUUAAUAGCGUUCCCCAAUACUCUGCAAUAUCUAAGGUAAAGAUCUCUGAGCUCAGAUAUUUUCCCCUACAAUAGUAGUCGGUACUCCUAUUUUGAUUAUUUUUAUGCUGGUUUCCAUUUUUAUAUAAUUAUUUAAACUCAUUUCAUUAUUUUAGUAUAGGUUGAAUUAGAUUUUUCAAAAUUAACUUCAGACAUUAUUCAAAAUUUCAAUUAUUAACUUUAUUUUAACUUUAACUCAUUAAAUUCCUAUAAACUUCUGGACUCGAUUCCCUCAGAAUCGUUUCUGGUUUCACUUGCUAUUAUUAUUAUAAACUACGAGUUAGAAAAGGAUCUGUUGUAUCCAACCGUAAGUUUAUUUAUUCGAUAAAGGCUUGUGCCUGUCCAACUCACAUUGAGUUAUUUAUAUAUUAUUUACCAUAUCAGGUAGUAUUUAAUUAAGGUGUACGUAUUAUAAACGUACAAUUAUUAGUUGGUGAAGGUUCUACUAACCUAGGUGUAAGUUGUACUUUCUGUAUUAGAGGUACCCUUCUUCAGAUUUUCUAACCUUAUUAAGAUUAUUCUUAGAUCACAUUUGUGUGAUAAUUUUGUAAUUGACUUUCACUAGUAUCAUUUUUUUUGUCAUUUUAGAGUCACAAACUAGUUACUUGUCUUAACUCGGAGAUUGUGAACAUCUAGUAGUUAAAUUUAAUAAAUUUAUAUUUAUUGUG